rnacentral:rRNA from 1 species
GGGCGGCGUGCUAUACAUGCAAGUCGAGCGGACAGAUGGGAGCUUGCUCCCUGAUGUUAGCGGCGGACGGGUGAGUAACACGUGGGUAACCUGCCUGUAAGACUGGGAUAACUCCGGGAAACCGGGGCUAAUACCGGAUGGUUGUUUGAACCGCAUGGUUCAAACAUAAAAGGUGGCUUCGGCUACCACUUACAGAUGGACCCGCGGCGCAUUAGCUAGUUGGUGAGGUAACGGCUCACCAAGGCGACGAUGCGUAGCCGACCUGAGAGGGUGAUCGGCCACACUGGGACUGAGACACGGCCCAGACUCCUACGGGAGGCAGCAGUAGGGAAUCUUCCGCAAUGGACGAAAGUCUGACGGAGCAACGCCGCGUGAGUGAUGAAGGUUUUCGGAUCGUAAAGCUCUGUUGUUAGGGAAGAACAAGUACCGUUCGAAUAGGGCGGUACCUUGACGGUACCUAACCAGAAAGCCACGGCUAACUACGUGCCAGCAGCCGCGGUAAUACGUAGGUGGCAAGCGUUGUCCGGAAUUAUUGGGCGUAAAGGGCUCGCAGGCGGUUUCUUAAGUCUGAUGUGAAAGCCCCCGGCUCAACUGGGGAGGGUCAUUGGGAACUGGGGAACUUGAGUGCAGAAAAGGAGAGUGGAAUUCCACGUGUAGCGGUGAAAAUGCGUAGAGAUGUGGAGGAACACC